CGCUGGCGGCGUGCUUAACACAUGCAAGUCGAGCGAUGAAACUAUUUCGGUAGUGAAUUAGCGGCGAACGGGUGAGGAACACGUGAGGAAUCUGCCUUCUACACUGGGAUAACUCCGGGAAACCGGGGCUAAUACCGGAUAUGAAACUUGGUGGCAUCACCGAGUUUGGAAAGUUUUUCGGUAGAAGAUGACCUCGCGGCCUAUCAGCUUGUUGGUGAGGUAAUGGCUCACCAAGGCGACGACGGGUAGCCGGCCUGAGAGGGCGACCGGCCACACUGGGACUGAGACACGGCCCAGACUCCUACGGGAGGCAGCAGUGGGGAAUAUUGGGCAAUGGAGGAAACUCUGACCCAGCGACGCCGCGUGCGGGAUGAAGGCCUUCGGGUUGUAAACCGCUUUCAGUAGGGAAGAAGCGAAAGUGACGGUACCUACAGAAGAAGCACCGGCUAACUAUGUG
rnacentral:rRNA from 1 species